rnacentral:rRNA from 1 species
GUGAGUAACACGUGAGCAACCUGCCCUGGACUCUGGGAUAAGCGCUGGAAACGGCGUCUAAUACUGGAUAUGAGCCUCUAUCGCAUGGUGGGGGUUGGAAAGAUUUUUUGGUCUGGGAUGGGCUCGCGGCCUAUCAGCUUGUUGGUGAGGUAAUGGCUCACCAAGGCGUCGACGGGUAGCCGGCCUGAGAGGGUGACCGGCCACACUGGGACUGAGACACGGCCCAGACUCCUACGGGAGGCAGCAGUGGGGAAUAUUGCACAAUGGGCGGAAGCCUGAUGCAGCAACGCCGCGUGAGGGAUGACGGCCUUCGGGUUGUAAACCUCUUUUAGCAGGGAAGAAGCGAGAGUGACGGUACCUGCAGAAAAAGCGCCGGCUAACUACGUGCCAGCAGCCGCGGUAAUACGUAGGGCGCAAGCGUUAUCCGGAAUUAUUGGGCGUAAAGAGCUCGUAGGCGGUUUGUCGCGUCUGCUGUGAAAUCCCGAGGCUCAACCUCGGGCCUGCAGUGGGUACGGGCAGACUAGAGUGCGGUAGGGGAGAUUGGAAUUCCUGGUGUAGCGGUGGAAUGCGCAGAUAUCAGGAGGAACACCGAUGGCGAAGGCAGAUCUCUGGGCCGUAACUGACGCUGAGGAGCGAAAGGGUGGGGAGCAAACAGGCUUAGAUACCCUGGUAGUCCACCCCGUAAACGUUGGGAACUAGUUGUGGGGACCAUUCCACGGUUUCCGUGACGCAGCUAACGCA